UUUCAAAACUGUUUCAAUAAAAUAGCGAAUAAACAACAAGUCACAGAAAAAGCGGGAUACCAAUCGCCAUAUGGAGGCAUGGACAAUGGAAUGUACGGCGUGGCGG